AACUACCAGAUGAAGUAUUAUUUCUACCACAUCCUCUCCUGGCCCCAGCUCCUCUACGUCGCCGAGGACUACAACGGCCGCAUCGUCGGCUACGUCUUAGCCAAGAUGGAGGAAGAAUCUAACGAGUGUCACGGUCAUAUUACCUCUCUCGCCGUCCUCCGCACCCACCGCAAGUUGGGCCUCGCCACUAAGCUCAUGAACGCUGCAC
rnacentral:misc_RNA from 1 species